rnacentral:rRNA from 1 species
UGGGGAAUAUUGCACAAUGGGCGAAAGCCUGAUGCAGCGACGCCGCGUGAGGGAUGACGGCCUUCGGGUUGUAAACCUCUUUCAGCAGGGACGAAGCGCAAGUGACGGUACCUGCAGAAGAAGCACCGGCUAACUACGUGCCAGCAGCCGCGGUAAUACGUAGGGUGCAAGCGUUGUCCGGAAUUACUGGGCGUAAAGAGUUCGUAGGCGGUUUGUCGCGUCGUUUGUGAAAACCAGCAGCUCAACUGCUGGCUUGCAGGCGAUACGGGCAGACUUGAGUACUGCAGGGGAGACUGGAAUUCCUGGUGUAGCGGUGAAAUGUGCAGAUAUCAGGAGGAACACCGGUGGCGAAGGCGGGUCUCUGGGCAGUAACUGACGCUGAGGAUCGAAAGCGUGGGUAGCGAACAGG